rnacentral:rRNA from 1 species
AAUAACGUUACCGUAGGGAUAACAGCGUAAUCUAUAUUUAUAGCUCUUAUAGAAAUAAGGGAUUGCGACCUCGAUGUUGAAUUAAUAUUUCUUUUAUAGGCAGCAUUAUAUAAAGUGGGUCUGUUCGACCCUUAAUAUAUUACAUGAUUUGAGUUCA